GACGAACGCUGGCGGCGUGCUUAACACAUGCAAGUCGAACGGAAAGGCCCUGCUUUUGUGGGGUGCUCGAGUGGCGAACGGGUGAGUAACACGUGAGUAACCUGCCCUUGACUUUGGGAUAACUUCAGGAAACUGGGGCUAAUACCGGAUAGGAGCUCCUGCUGCAUGGUGGGGGUUGGAAAGUUUCGGCGGUUGGGGAUGGACUCGCGGCUUAUCAGCUUGUUGGUGGGGUAGUGGCUUACCAAGGCUUUGACGGGUAGCCGGCCUGAGAGGGUGACCGGCAACAUUGGGACUGAGAUACGGCCAAGACUCCUACGGGAGGCAGCAGUGGGGAAUAUUGCACAAGGGGCGGAAGCCUGAUGCAGCAACGCCGCGUGCGGGAGGACGGCCUUCGGGUUGUAAACCGCUUUCGCCUGUGACGAAGCGUGAGUGACGGUAAUGGGUAAAGAAGCACCGGCUAACUACG
rnacentral:rRNA from 1 species